rnacentral:rRNA from 1 species
GAUGAACGCUGGCGGCGUGCCUAAUACAUGCAAGUCGAGCGAACAGACGAGGAGCUUGCUCCUCUGACGUUAGCGGCGGACGGGUGAGUAACACGUGGAUAACCUACCUAUAAGACUGGGAUAACUUCGGGAAACCGGAGCUAAUACCGGAUAAUAUAUUGAACCGCAUGGUUCAAUAGUGAAAGACGGUUUUGCUGUCACUUAUAGAUGGAUCCGCGCCGCAUUAGCUAGUUGGUAAGGUAACGGCUUACCAAGGCAACGAUGCGUAGCCGACCUGAGAGGGUGAUCGGCCACACGGGAACGGAGACACGGACCAGACUCCUACGGGAGGCAGCAGUAGGGAAUCUUCCGCAAUGGGCGAAAGCCUGACGGAGCAACGCCGCGUGAGUGAUGAAGGUCUUCGGAUCGUAAAACUCUGUUAUUAGGGAAGAACAAAUGUGUAAGUAACUAUGCACGUCUUGACGGUACCUAAUCAGAAAGCCACGGCUAACUACGUG